rnacentral:rRNA from 1 species
UACGGAGGGGGCUAGCGUUGCUCGGAAUCACUGGGCGUAAAGCGCACGUAGGCGGCUUUGUAAGUUAGAGGUGAAAGCCCGGGGCUCAACUCCGGAAUUGCCUUUAAGACUGCAUCGCUCGAAUUGUGGAGAGGUAAGUGGAAUUCCGAGUGUAGAGGUGAAAUUCGUAGAUAUUCGGAAGAACACCAGUGGCGAAGGCGACUUACUGGACACAUAUUGACACUGAGGUGCGAAAGCGUGGGGAGCAAACAGG